rnacentral:rRNA from 1 species
AUUGAACGCUGGCGGCAGGCCUAACACAUGCAAGUCGAGCGGAUGAAGGGAGCUUGCUCCUGGAUUCAGCGGCGGACGGGUGAGUAAUGCCUAGGAAUCUGCCUGGUAGUGGGGGAUAACGUCCGGAAAAGGGCGCUAAUACCGCAUACGUCCUGAGGGAGAAGGUGGGGGAUCUUCGGACCUCACGCUAUCAGAUGAGCCUAGGUCGGAUUAGCUAGUUGGUGGGGUAAAGGGCUACCAAGGCGAAGAUCCGUAAGUGGUCUGAGUGGAUGAUCAGUCACACGGGAACUGAGACGCGGUCCAGACUCCUAAGAGAGGCAGCAGUGGGGAAUAUUGGGCAAUGGGCGAAAGCCUGAUCCAGCCAUGCCGCGUGUGUGAAGAAGGUCUUCGGAUUGUAAAGCACUUUAAGUUGGGAUGAAGGGCAGUAAGUUAAUACCUUGCUGUUUUGACGUUACCAACAGAAUAAGCACCGGCUAACUUCGUG